rnacentral:piRNA from 1 species
UCUCACUGUUUGGGUGUUCUUGCUGUGUA